rnacentral:rRNA from 1 species
UACAGAGGGUGCAAGCGUUGUUCGGAAUUACUGGGCGUAAAGGGCUCGUAGGCGGCCAACUAAGUCACACGUGAAAUCCCCAGCUUAACCUGGGAACUGCGUGUGAUACUGGAUGGCUUGAAUUCGGGAGAGGGAUGCAGAAUUCCAGGUGUAGCGGUGAAAUGCGUAGAUAUCUGGAGGAAUACCGGUGGCGAAGGCGGCAUCCUGGACCGACAUUGACGCUGAUGAGCGAAAGCUAGGGGGAGCAAAACGGGG